GGAUGAACGCUGGCGGCGUGCUUAACACAUGCAAGUCGAACGGAAAGGCUCCUGCUUGCAGGGGUACUCGAGUGGCGAACGGGUGAGUAACACGUGGGUGAUCUGCCCUGCACUUCGGGAUAAGCCUGGGAAACUGGGUCUAAUACCGGAUAGGACGAUGGUUUGGAUGCCAUUGUGGAAAGUUUUUUCGGUGUGGGAUGAGCUCGCGGCCUAUCAGCUUGUUGGUGGGGUAAUGGCCUACCAAGGCGUCGACGGGUAGCCGGCCUGAGAGGGUGUACGGCCACAUUGGGACUGAGAUACGGCCCAGACUCCUACGGGAGGCAGCAGUGGGGAAUAUUGCACAWUGGGCGCAAGCCUGAUGCAGCGACGCCGCKUGGGGGAUGACGGCCUUCGGGUUGUAAACUCCUUUCGCUAGGGACGAAGCGYAAGUGACGGUACCUGGAGAAGAAGCACCGGCUAACUACGU
rnacentral:rRNA from 1 species